GCCUGGCUGGCUCAGUCAGUAGCGCAUGUGACUUUUAAUUUUAAGAUCGUGGGUGUGAGCCCCACACUUGGCA
rnacentral:tRNA from 1 species